GAAAUGCGAUAUGUAAUGUGAAUUGCAGAAUUCAGUGAAUCAUCGAAUCUUUGAACGCACAUUGCGCUCCUUGGUAUUCCGAGGAGCACACCUGUUUGAGUAUCAAUAAACUCUCACAAAUUCUUCUUUUUGAGAAUGAUUUGUGGAUAUGGAUAUUCUGAUUCUGUGAAGAAUCAGUUGUCUUAAUUUCAAUGUCAAAAGCUUUCUUUAAAAAAAGAAUUUGCUUGUUUGAAAUGAUAGAAUAAGUCUAGAACUUUUUUAAACUUUCAAACCCAAGAGCAAUUUCGUUAAUUUUUUUGAUUAAAGUUUGUUUUGAUUCCUAUAAUUAUGCCUAUACGUGUAACAGUUGUUGCAUGUAUUUGAAUACUUGGUCUCAAAUCAGGUGGGAAAACCCGCUGAA
rnacentral:misc_RNA from 1 species